AUCAGCUCCUGGCACACAGUGAUGAUAAUAACAAGGAAGCAUUAAUUGUUCUUGGGUAUCAGGCAGUUUGUCUAGCACUUCACAUGCACUGUCUCAUUUACUGUCCCCAACAACCCUAUUCAAAGGUACAAUUAUGAUCCCUUCUUUUCAAGUUAGGAAACUAAGAGAAGAUUCAGCUAGCUGUUGCUGCAAUUGUGCUGUGUAACCAACUACACGUUCUCAGUGGCAAACAAUAAUGCAACUUGUCUCCUGAUAGAUUGAGUGAAUUACUAUCAGCAAACAAAUGAGAGUGGAAAAGAAAAGCUAUUAAUAAGAAGCAAUGAUGGAAGAAUAAGAAACGGGACAGAGAAAGAAUUGGCAACAAUAAUCCAUUACCCAGUGUUGACUAUUUACAGAAUAUUUAACUCAUAUUUUACAUCACCGUUACAGAGCAAAUGAAGAGAAUGUCUCAUUUUGUCUUCUGUCUAUAUUGGCAAGGGUCAAAAGUGUUGAGCCUCAAAGUCACUUUUAAGUAGUGAUUUGGGAGGUAUUACCCCUUGUAGUAGCAUGCUUAACUUUAGAUAAGUCAGAAACACUGUACUCUGCUGGAAAAGAUAUAAGGGCCAGAAACAUCAGGGUCUGACCUCAAGAGAAGCAGCAGGAGAGCAAAGCCAACAUUGAUGAACCAGAUGAAGACAGAAAGAAAUGGGACAAUGGCUUAAAAUGAUCCAUGAAAACUAAUGAGAUUGGAAUAAAAUAAAAUUGGGUAAAGAGUGGAUGACUGAACAGGAGAGCUGAUCUAUGAGUGGCCCAGGUAUGGACAUCAACAUAGUCCCACUUCGUGAUCCAAGGAGGCCCGUUCAGUCCCUAUUUGAGCAUCUUACUGGAACUAUUGGAAAAGAAAAGCACUUUUCCUAGUGGCAGAGAGGCUAAGAUACAGUCCUAGGGCUGCUAGGGGUCAUUGGCCCCAGAGGGGAAGAACCUGCUUCAGUAAAACCAACUGAAAAAAAUCUGAUGCAAAAUUAAAAAUAUGAAAAAUCAUGAACCCUGAAAACAUUUUUGGAAUUCCCAGAUCCUUCUGUUCCUGAGCUCCCUCUAAACAUUUCUAUUAAACAAAUCAAUA